rnacentral:rRNA from 1 species
GAUGAACGCUAGCUACAGGCUUAACACAUGCAAGUCGAGGGGUAACAAGAGGAAAGCUUGCUUUUCUUGUUGACGACCGGCGCACGGGUGAGUAACGCGUAUCCAACCUGCCUAUAACUAGGGAAUAACCCUGCGAAAGUAAGACUAAUACCCUAUGAUUUCCUUUGAUGACAUCAGAUUAGGAAUAAAGAUUUAUCGGUUAUAGAUGGGGAUGCGUCUGAUUAGCUUGUUGGCGGGGUAACGGCCCACCAAGGCAACGAUCAGUAGGGGUUCUGAGAGGACGGUCCCCCCCAUUGGAACUGAGACACGGUCCACACUCCCACGGGAAGCACCAGUGAGGAAUAUUGAUCAAUGGGCUGAAGCCUGAACCAGCCAAUUAGCGUGCAGGAUGACGGCCCUAUGGGUUGUAAACUGCUUUUAUACAGGAAUAAAGUUAGCCACGUGUGGUUAUUUGUAGGUACUGUAUGAAUAAGGACCGGCUAAUUCCGUGCCAGCCGCCGCCGUAACAC